GACGAACGCUGGCGGUGUGCUUAACACAUGCAAGUCGAACGGUAAGGCCCUUUCUGGGCUACACGAGUGGCGCACGGGGGAGUAACACGCCUGUAACCUUCCCUCAUCUCUGGGAUAACAGUCCGAAACGGUUGCUAAAUCUGGCUAUGAGCUUGCGAGGCAUCUUGUGGGUUGGUAAGAUUUUUUGUGGUUGGGGAUGGAUUCGCGGCGUUUCAGCUUGUUGGUGGGGAAGUGGCACACCAAGGCUGCGACGGAUAUCCGGCCUGAGAGGGCGGAGGGCCGCAUCAGGACUCUGAGACGGGCCAAAGUCCUGCGGGAGGCAGCAGUGGCGAAUAUUGCACACUGGACGGAAGUCUGAUGCAGCAACGUCGCGUGCGGGAUGACGGCCUUCGGGUGGUAGAACGCUCUGUAAGGUGACACAGCGUUUUUGUGACGUUAGCAGUAGAAGAAGCACCGGCUAACUACGUG
rnacentral:rRNA from 1 species